UACGAAGGGGGCUAGCGUUGCUCGGAAUCACUGGGCGUAAAGGGUGCGUAGGCGGGUCUUUUAAGUCAGGGGUGAAAUCCUGGAGCUCAACUCCAGAACUGCCUUUGAUACUGAAGAUCUUGAGUUCGGGAGAGGUGAGUGGAACUGCGAGUGUAGAGGUGAAAUUCGUAGAUAUUCGCAAAGAACACCAGUGGCGAAGGCGGCUCACUGGCCCGAUACUGACGCUGAGGCACGAAAGCGUGGGGAGCAACAGG
rnacentral:rRNA from 1 species